rnacentral:rRNA from 1 species
UAAGGAAUAUUGGUCAAUGGACGCAAGUCUGAACCAGCCAUGCCGCGUGAAGGAUGAAGGUCCUCUGGAUUGUAAACUUCUUUUAUCUGGGACGAAAACGGGAUUUUUAUCUCAAUUGACGGUACCAGAGGAAUAAGCACCGGCUAACUCCGUGCCAGCAGCCGCGGUAAUACGGAGGGUGCGAGCGUUAUCCGGAUUUACUGGGUUUAAAGGGUGCGUAGGUGGGCUUAUAAGUCAGUGGUGAAAUCUCCGAGCUCAACUUGGAAACUGCCGUUGAUACUAUAGGUCUUGAAUUAUCUGGAGGUAAGCGGAAUAUGUCAUGUAGCGGUGAAAUGCUUAGAUAUGACAUAGAACACCAAUUGCGAAGGCAGCUUACUACAUAUAAAUUGACGCUGAGGCACGAAAGCGUGGGGAUCAAACA